CUAGGGCGCGUGCGCGUAGCGAAUCUAAGGAAACCCGAGGCUGAUCACCUUCGGCUAGGCUUGCGCGUCGCGUUGAUCUUGGUUGGGAAUGGAAGAGCCUUCAAAGGAGGUUCUCGGUGCUCUCUGAACUUGGUGGUUGCACGCUAUACACCCUCUCUUCCUUCUUUUGCUGAGGCGUCAUGCAAGUAGAAAAAAUAAUAUUGUUACAUGCAAAGUCUGCAAUAGGAAGAAAUCUCGCCAUUUGUCUUAUUGCUCUAGACGGGGGUCUCCAACCUUGACAACUUUAAGCCUGGAGGACGGCUGGGGCAUUCUGGGAGUUGAAGUCCUCCAGGCUUAAAGUUGCCAAGGUUGGAGACCCCUGAUCUACAGCGAUUUUCAUCUAAUUGGAUCCCUUUUCUAAUCUUGUAACGAUCCCGCCUCCUCUGUUUAGCCAAUGAGAGUCGUGAUUUUUUUUUACCAGCUGCUAAUCGAUGUUAAAUUUCUAGAUUAUUUUUUUCCUUUUUCAAGAGAUCGCGCAAUUUUGCAGCAUCGAGCAUGGCUGUGACUUGAUUUUUUUUUUAUUCUCCUCCACCCUUAACUUUCAUUCAAGUAGGAAAAACGACGAAAAUUUAUAAUCGGCUCACAAGAAAUUGGACUAGUCUCAAUAACAACAGCCGGCCAAUCAAACUCUCUGAAAUCAAUCCAUGACUCAGAAGUAUCCGUUCAUACAGAUCCGCCGGGAACUGAAAACUUAUUUAUUUAUACAAGCGGGACUGGCCUGAUUUUUAAAUUUUAAAUUUAAAUUUUAAACUUUUAAUGGUAAUUUUAUUGGGUAUUUUUAUGGUCAAUCGACGGUUUUAAUUUGGCCUUUUAUUGAAUAAGUUUUUUAAUUGUUAUUUUAAUAUGUAUAUUAAUUGUUUUAAAUGGAGGCUGUACACCGCCCUGAGUCCUUCGGGAGAAGGGCGGUAUAAAGUUUGAUAAAUAAAUAAAAAUAAAUAAAUAAAUAAAUACUAAAUUCCAUCACAUAAAAAGGUAUUUAAAGGCAAGUGUUCUGACAGACGAGCACAAUUCAAAGCGCACGGACGAUGUCUGCUUGAAUGGUGACGAAAUGUUUGCAACCAAAUAGAAUAGAAGAAUAGAACUUUUUAUUGGCCAAGUGUGAUUGGACACACAAGGAAUUUGUCUUGGUGCAUAUGCUCUCAGUGUACAUAAAAUGGCUCGGAACUCGAACCAACAGCCCACCAAUGCAUAGAUUUGAACCUCGGCCGUUGGGACUAGCAGACUUAACCGGGACUUGGUCAAGCAGCAGGACCAGUUCUAAUUAGAUGAGAGGCUUCCGGGAAUUUCAGGACUAUAAUCUUGGCUGAGAAAAUGAAAAGAAAAAUCCAGAAAGAAGGCAAACGUAAACCAGUCUCAUCUUGUUGCUGAAUUACCAGGAGUCACAUUUUAAAGCUUGUAGGCUCUAGCAUCUCCACAUCUGGAUCAUCAAAACCAUUCCAGAAAGCUACAGAAAAGCCAAAGGCAGAAGCAACACUGGAGAGAAGCAGCGGAGAACGACUCCUUUGGUAUCAUUUUUCCCAAGAGGACCCAAUACUGGCAUUGAAGGAAUUGUCUUCCAUCCUGCCUCUCUCCUCCCCAUGAUUCAGGGGUGGGGAUUCAGCCGGCUUGGGCAAACCGGUUGUUAUGAUUUUCGGCAGUUCAGAGAACCGGUAAAAUUGACCACCGCCUACCCCACCCUGCCCUAUAUAUUAUCUUCCCUUUGCCACGUGGUCCAGCAUUCAACAUGGCUGGUGCUUCUCUGUGCUGCACGCUUUCUAGGUGGGACUUAGAGGAAAGCGGCAGCUUACAGCUGCUAAACUGAACAAGAGACACUCUCUCCCAGCAAGAGCAGCAGCGGAGAGAAACAGCCGCUACCCCGGAGAGCAGAGGCGGAGCGGAGCAGGCCCUGAAAGGCUGCUCAGUUGACCCUCGCCGCAUAUGCACACCCUCACAUUUUCGGCGAACUGGUGGUUAAGUGGAUUGAAUCCCACCGCUGCCAUGAUUCCUGCGCAAAUAAAACUUCUACUUUGUUGCCAGGGCAGAUUAAAUGUUGGAAGUGUGAUUUCCGAAUUGAAUAAUGGUAUUGAGCACUGCCAUGUGAAAGAAUCCUGAACCGGUGGUUUCCUGUGGCUGCAUUUUUUUGUAAAUGUAAUUUUAAACUAUAGUUUCAAAAUAAAAGAAAUUAAUAAUUUCA